rnacentral:rRNA from 1 species
UACGAAGGGGGCUAGCGUUGUUCGGAAUUACUGGGCGUAAAGGGCGCGUAGGCGGUGUGUCAAGUCAGGCGUGAAAGCCCCGGGCUCAACCUGGGAACCGCGCUUGAGACUGGCACGCUAGAGUUCGGGAGAGGAUGGUGGAAUUCCCAGUGUAGAGGUGAAAUUCGUAGAUAUUCGCAAGAACACCAGUGGCGAAGGCGGCUUACUGGUCCGGAACUGACGCUGAGGUGCGGAAAGCGUGGGGAGCAAACAGG